AUCUGAAACUAAUGAUCUAAAGGAGCCACUGAGAAUUUUUAAUUGGUGUUUAAGUUUGAUGUGUUGCCAACCUUGAGCAUGAAUUUAUGAUGAUUCAAUGUGUUAAUGGUUUGUAAACACUUUGUAAAUAGAAAUUGUUUUGAAUAUGAUUUGAAACCACAGUUGACAUGACAAAAUAUGUUGUGAAUUCUCAUUAGCUUGUCUAGUGAGAUAUCUCCUCCACUAGAUGGGGUGAGUUCCUUCCUCUCUGGCUUGCCAGUUGGGGAAGAGUUUGAAUGAGUACUCAUAUAUACUAGCUAGUCUUUGUUCCUCCCUUUUAGCCUCGGUUAUUGGGAGAGUUUGAAAUGUCAUGGUGUACAACACGGCAUCUAUUUGAAUUUUGGGUCAUGGGUUCAACUGUGUUAAUUGUUGGUAAUGCCCUUUAAAUUAAGCAUAGUUUGAUAAAUUGUGGUUGAAAUAAAUAAUUUAUCGGUAAUUCAAAAUAUUUUUGUAUUGUUUCAAGAUUUAAAAGAAAUGUAGAUAAACAAUUACUAUUUGAUCAAAAUAUUAUUCAAAUGAAUAAUUUGCAUGAAUAAAAAUAUUGAUUUCUGAAUGUUAUGAAUUUUGAAGAAUUUAGAAAUUUUAAAUUUUUAUUUAUUAUGAAUUGUAAAGCAUAACUUGUAUUAAGUUUUAAAUUAUU
rnacentral:misc_RNA from 1 species